rnacentral:rRNA from 1 species
UACGAAGGGGGCUAGCGUUGUUCGGAAUUACUGGGCGUAAAGCGCGCGCAGGCGGUCCUUCAAGUCAGAGGUGAAAGCCCAGAGCUCAACUCUGGAAUGGCCUUUGAGACUAGAGGACUUGGGUACGGGAGAGGUGAGUGGAAUUCCGAGUGUAGAGGUGAAAUUCGUAGAUAUUCGGAAGAACACCAGUGGCGAAGGCGGCUCACUGGCCCGUUACCGACGCUCAGGCGCGACAGCGUGGGGAGCAAA